rnacentral:rRNA from 1 species
CCCGGGCCUUGUACACACCGCCCGUCACACCACGAAAGUCGGAGACGCCCGAAGCCAGUGGCCAACCCUUUGGGAGGGAGCUGUCGAAGGUGGAGUCGGCGAUUGGGGUG